rnacentral:tRNA from 1 species
AGGGGUUUAGGAUAAUAUUAAACCAAGGGCCUUCAAAGCCCUAAAUGGAGGUGAAAACCCCCCAACCCCUG